rnacentral:rRNA from 1 species
GACGAACGCUGGCGGCGUGCUUAACACAUGCAAGUCGAACGGAAAGGCCCUGCUUUUGUGGGGUGCUCGAGUGGCGAACGGGUGAGUAACACGUGAGUAACCUGCCCUUGACUUUGGGAUAACUUCAGGAAACUGGGGCUAAUACCGGAUAGGAGCUCCUGCUGCAUGGUGGGGGUUGGAAAGUUUCGGCGGUUGGGGAUGGACUCGCGGCUUAUCAGCUUGUUGGUGGGGUAGUGGCUUACCAAGGCUUUGACGGGUAGCCGGCCUGAGAGGGUGACCGGCCACAGUGGGACUGAGAUACGGCGCAGACUCCUACGGGAGGCGGCAGUGGGGAAUGUUGCACAAUGGGCGGAAGCCUGAUGCAGCAACGCCGCGUGCGGGAUGACGGCCUUCGGGUUGUAAACCGCUUUCGCCUGUGACGAAGCGUGAGUGACGGUAAUGGGUAAAGAAGCACCGGCUAACUACG